rnacentral:lncRNA from 1 species
CCCAGAGAACCUGUGUCUACUUCUGAGCGCUGGGAAUGAAGCAGAUCUCGCAAAAGGGGAGGAAGGCCUUCACCGCUGAACCCGAGCUUUGCCAUUUCGAAGUGCUGAGUCACCUCGUCCUCUCAGGGUCAGACACUUUCACGCAGGAAACGUCCUGCAGAGCACCGCAGCGGGAGCACCGAGCUGACCUGGAAGGAGAGAACAAGGGCCUUCCUGAGGCAGGACAAGGACCCAGAACUACCCAGAAUGCAGCAGGGCGGCCCCGCACGACUGAGCUCUGAUCCUAACCUGCAAAGUGAAGUUUCAAUUUCCACUUCCUGAGAAGAUGUGGAAACUCAGAGAGGAUGCCACUGUUUUGAACUAUUUUGAAGGCACAGCCACCAGAGCUUUAGGUGAGUGACUCUAUGCUUAUAGGCCCAAAUGUAUCUUCACCCCCUCUCACUCCCUGCGCUGUACAGUUUCCCAUUACCCAACAUGCACUUCUGUUAGCAGCUGACUCUUUCCUAAACCUAUUCCUCCAGGGACUUACUUAGCUAGACAACCAGCUUUUCAGUUUCUUCCUUAUUUUCCUACCUAACUUUAUUAAAUUAAAUUGUUUAUUUUUUGAGACAGGGUCUCACCUUGUAGCCCUGAAUGACUUGGAAUUUGCUGUGUAGACCAGGUUGGCUUUGAACUCACAAUUCUCCAUCUGCCUCUGUUCCCAAAUGCUGGGAUUAACAGUCUAUGUCACACAUACCUAGUCUUCCUUCCUAGCUUUCUAUUUUCAGGAAAUGUCUCUUGGGACUCAGUCUAUCAAGACAGGGGUGGAAGUGGAGCUGGCCAGUGGAGUGUUGGGACAAAGCUCUGAGUGGAGCCCUCGAGUUUAAAACGGAAUCUUAGAGAGGACGUGUUUACUCCUGCAUUAUAGAGCACGGACGCUCAUGACUCAGUUUGAUUUUCAUACACCGUUCUGCUCAUCACUGCCAAGUGGAGCAAUCCAGGCCUCUCAAAAUGUGCCAUACUACCUUCCAGCUAAAAGCUUUCUGUGGGGCUGGCGAGAUGGCUCAGCGGGUAAGAGCACCCGAUUGCUCUUCCGAAGGUCCAGAGUUCAAAUCCCAG